rnacentral:rRNA from 1 species
AGACGGAGGUGGCAAACGCUAUUGGGAAUCACUGGGCUUAAAGGGCGUGUAGGCGGUUUGGUAAGUGAGGUGUGAAAGCCCCCGGCUCACCCGGGGAGGGUCAUCUCAUACUGCUGGACUUGAGUGCGGAAGAGGAUGGGGGAAUUCCUGGUGUAGCGGUGAAAUGCGUAGAUAUCAGGAGGAACUCCGGUGGCGAAGGCGCCCAUCUGGUCCGUUGCUGACGCUGAGGCGCGAAAGCUAGGGGAGCGAACGGGAUUAGAAACCCCGGUAGUCC